rnacentral:rRNA from 1 species
AAUAGAUACCCAGGUAGUCCACGCCGUAAACGAUGAGUGCUAAGUGUUAGGGGGGUUUUCCGCCCCUUAGUGCUGCAGCUAACGCAUUAAGCACUCCGCCUGGGGGAGUACGACCGCAAGGUUGAAACUCAAAGGAAUUGACGGGGGACCCGCACAAGCGGUGGAGCAUGUGGUUUAAUUCGAAGCAACGCGAAGAACCUUACCAAAUCUUGACAUCCUUUGACAACUCUAGAGAUAGAGCUUUCCCCUUCGGGGGACAAAGUGACAGGUGGUGCAUGGUUGUCGUCAGCUCGUGUCGUGAGAUGUUGGGUUAAGUCCCGCAACGAGCGCAACCCUUAAGCUUAGUUGCCAUCAUUAAGUUGGGCACUCUAAGUUGACUGCCGGUGACAAACCGGAGGAAGGUGGGGAUGACGUACAAAUCAUCAUGCCCCUUAUGAUUUGGGCUACACACGUGCUACAAUGGACAAUACAAAGGGCAGCGAAACCGCGAGGUCAAGCAAAUCCCAUAAAGUUGUUCUCAGUUCGGAUUGUAGUCUGCAACUCGACUA